AAGCAGUGCGUGACAUGCCCCGUGCCUUGCACUGCAACACCUCCACCCACCCCGAGGCCCUGAGUUUAUGGCACAGUACAGCACGUCACCCGAUUACCGCGAUUGCAUGUGCGCUGUCAUGCUCACCUCGCGCGCCUGCGCCUGCGCCAUCUCGUCCACCUCGGCAUGCGCCUCGGGGCUGUCGUUGAUGUCAGUGACCACGUCUGGGUGCUCGCCGGCUGCAUUGGACUUAACAGAGGUGGAGCCCACUGCCUCUGACUUCGCCGACUUGACGGAGGUGGAGCCCACUGCCUCCGACUUGGCCGACUUGACGGAGGUGGAGCCCACUGCCUCCGACUUGGCCGACUUGACGGAGGUGGAGCCCACUGCCUCCGACUUGGCCGACUUGACGGAGGUGGAGCCCACUGCCUCCGACUUGGCAGACUUGACCGAUGUGCUACCCUCCUCACCCGCCUUGUAGCCGCGCUCGCCGCCCUCGCCAUCCUCGCCACCCUCGCCGGCAGUGGCAGGUGCCGC
rnacentral:lncRNA from 1 species